AGGGUGUAAACGCUGCAGACUUGGUGUUGGAGGCCCUUUGGGGGCAUUCAGUGCCGGAGAGAAGUUGUUAAGUCUGCUACUUGGGGAGUACGUCCGCAAGGAUGAAACUUAAAGGAAUUGGCGGGGGGAGCACCGCAACGGGAGGAGCGUGCGGUUUAAUUGGAUUCAACACCGUAAAACUCACCAGGGAAGACUGUUACAUGAAGGCCGAGAUGAAGACUCUGCUAGAUUUUUCAGAGAGGAGGUGCAUGGCGUCAGUGACU
rnacentral:rRNA from 1 species